GUGUCUUUCACAGCAUCCUUCCUCAGACCUGUGUAGUAUCUGUUCUUCUCAGUUUAACAUCUGAUAUGUCCUCUAUUUGAGGACUCUAUGUUAAAUGGAUUUUUGGAUUUGGGAGAUGGUAUAGGGGUUAGGGUUAGCGUACUUGCCACUCUCAAUUACUGUUGCUGCUGCCAUGUAGACACACGACAGUGGCAGGAGCAACCCAAG
rnacentral:snRNA from 1 species